UUUUUCAAAUCAAAACAACUGAAACAAAUCUCUGCUUCCUCUGGGACUUAAGGCUAGGCUAAACCUUUGUCCCCCUUCUGGAAAAAGAAAGCAAGCAAUAUCCGUAGUUUGUGAAAGAUGAAACUUCCAUUUGCCACAGAACUGGGGCAGGCAAUGGGAGAUUGGUGAUUGUUUGAUGAAACAGACUAUGAAGACAACCAACUUAAGGCGGUUCUGUUAACUCAAAGGUCACUGUUGUGAAGGGCAUAGACAAUCGAAACCCUCCUGGCUCUCGAAGCCUUCUUGAUUACUGACGACAGAGGAGGAGAAAAUACGCCUUUACUUUGGGGAGACCUGGCCGUCACCACCUUAACCAAUGGAUCAAACUUAACAUCACGAAUACUGGGACAAUCUGACAUGAAAGGGCUUCUCGUGCGAAUCAAUAUGAAGAACACAAAUGGCCCCAGAAGCAUUCUUGCCAGAGGUGUUGACUUGAAUCCGCUAAGUCACCAGACCUAACUUCCAGCCUACAGAAAACAUAGGGAUAGAGGAACACGCAAGAUUUCACGACGAGGGGGCGCCUGGGUGCCUCAGUCAUCACGCGUCUGCCUUUGGCUCAGGUCAUGGUCUCAGGGUCCUGGGAUUGAGCCCCCACAUUGGGCUCCCUGCUCAGUGGGAAGCCUGCUUCUCCCUCUCCCACUCCCCCUGCUUGUGUUGCUCUCUCGCUGUGUCUCUCUCUGUCAAAUAAAUAAAUAAAAUUAAAAAAAAAAAUAAAAAGAUCUCACGACGAGGAAACAGCCGUGUCCAAAAAGUGUGAAGUGUUCUUCAAAAUAA